CUCUGACAGAGCUCAGUCCUAGUGGAGUAACUUCACCGGGCAGACUGUCCCUGUCGUCAAAGAAGUUUGACUACCGACAGUUUGCCGCCAUUCCUUCUUCCAAACCCGUAUACGACAUCCAGUCUCCUGACACAGUCGACGACCUGCAGUUUAUUGACGACGGCUCCAGCAACCCAGGUGAGAACC